AUGGAGAUCGGCACCGAGAUCAGCCGCAAGAUCCGGAGUGCUAUUAAGGGGAAAUUGCAAGAAUUAGGAGCUUAUGUUGGCUUCAUGGUGUAUUAGAUAAACUUCGCUCUUUUACAGCUGAACCUUCUAGUCUAAAGUCUUGUGAUACCAACAUCUUUGAUAGUAACGUGUCUUCGAACAAGAGCAGUUUCAGUCGGGGAGAUGAGAGGAGGCAUGAAGCUGCAGCGCCACCACUUGCCAUUCCUAGCACUAGACCUGAAAAAAGAGAUUCCAGAGUCUACAAGUUCACAGGAGUCAAAAACCACUAAUAUCAGGCAGACUUAUGAUGAUGGAGCUGCAACCCGACUAAUGUCAACAGUGAAACCUUUGAGGGAGCCAGCACCCUCUGAAGAUGUGAUUGAUAUUAAGCCAGAACCAGAUGAUCUCAUUGACGAAGACCUGAACUUUGUGCAGGAGAACCCUUUAUCUCGGAAAAAACCUACAGUGACACUUACAUAAGGUUCUUCUCGCCCUUCUAUUGAAAUUUAUCGACCACCUGCAAGUAGAAAUGCAGAUAGUGGUGUUCAUUUAAACAGGUUGCAAUUUCAACAGCAGCAAAAUAGUAUGCAUGCUGCCAAGCAGCUUGAUAUACAGAAUAGUUGGGUAUAUGAAACAGGACGUUUGUGUGAACCAGAAGUGCGUAACAGCUUAGAAGAAACGUAUAGUCUGUUCUUUAGAAACAACUCGGAGAAAAUGAGUAUGGAGGAUGAAAACUUUCGGAAGAGAAAGUUGCCUGUGGUAAGUUCAGUUGUUAAAGUAAAAAAAAAAAUCAAUCAUGAUGGAGAAGAGGAGGAAGAAGAUGAUGAUUAUGGGUCUCGAACAGGGAGCAUCUCCAGCAGUGUGUCUGUGCCAGCAAAGCCUGAAAGGAGACCUUCUCUUCCGCCUUCUAAACAAGCUAACAAGAAUCUCAUUUUGAAGGCUAUAUCUGAAGCUCAAGAAUCUGUAACAAAAACAACUAACUAUUCCACAGUCCCACAGAAACAGACACUUCCAGUUGCUCCUAGAACUCGAACUUCUCAAGAAGAAUUGCUAGCAGAAGUGGUCCAGGGACAAAGUAGGACCCCAAGAAUAAGUCCUCCCAUUAAAGAAGAGGAAACAAAAGGAGAUUCCAUAGAAAAAAAUCAAGCUGAGAUGAGUGAACUGAGUGUGGCACAGAAACCAGAAAAACUUUUGGAGCGCUGCAAGUACUGGCCUGCUUGUAAAAAUGGGGAUGAGUGUGCCUACCAUCACCCCAUCUCACUCUGCAAAGCCUUCCCCAAUUGUAAAUUUGCUGAAAAAUGUUUGUUUGUUCACCCAAAUUGUAAAUAUGAUGCAAAGUGUACAAAAACCACAUUGUCCUUUCACUCAUGUGAGUAGAAGAAUUCCAGUACUGUCUCCAAAACCAGCAGUUGCACCGCCAGCACCACCUUCCAAUAGUCAGCUCUGCCACUACUUCCCAGCUUGUAAGAAGAUGGAAUGUCCCUUCUAUCAUCCAAAACACUGUAGGUUUAAUACUCAGUGUACGAGACCGGACUGUACAUUCUACCAUCCCACCAUUAAUGUACCACCACGACAUGCCUUGAAAUGCAUUCGACCUAAAACCAGCGAAUAACACUCAAUCCUACCUGGCAGAAGAUCAUGCAGUUUGGAAGUUUCCAUCUACUGAUGAAUACUCUACAGAACUUGUCAAAUGUUUGAAACUUGGAAUAUAUUGCUUUCAUAAUAUGAAGUUUAUUGCCUA